rnacentral:tRNA from 1 species
GUGCCUGAAAAAAGGAUUAUCGUGAUAGGAUAAAUCAUGUAAUUAUUAAUUACCU